UGGGGAAUAUUGCACAAUGGGGGAAACCCUGAUGCAGCGACGCCGCGUGGGUGACGAAGUAUUUCGGUAUGUAAAGCCCUAUCAGCAGGGAAGAAGCUGACAGUACCUGACUAAGAAGCCCCGGCUAACUACGUGCC
rnacentral:rRNA from 1 species